rnacentral:rRNA from 1 species
UACGUAGGGGGCAAGCGUUAUCCGGAUUUACUGGGUGUAAAGGGAGCGCGGACGGAACUGCAAGUCUGAUGUGAAAGCCCGGGGCUCAACCGCGGGACUGCAUUGGAAACUGUAGAUCUGGAGUGCCGGAGGGGCAAGCGGAAUUCCUGGUGUAGCGGUGAAAUGCGUAGAUAUCAGGAGGAACACCGGCGGCGAAGGCGGCUUGCUGGACGGCAACUGACGUUGAGGCUCGAAAGCGUGGGGAGCAAACAGGAUUAGAUACCCGGGUAGUCCCU